rnacentral:rRNA from 1 species
UACGGAGGGUGCAAGCGUUGUUCGGAAUUACUGGGCGUAAAGGGCGCGUAGGCGGCACGGCAAGUCGGGAGUGAAAGGCCUGGGCUCAACCGAGGAACUGCUUUCGAGACUGCCGAGCUAGAGUGCGGAAGGGGCAACUGGAAUUCCCAGUGUAGCGGUGAAAUGCGUAGAUAUUGGGAAGAACACCGGAGGCGAAGGCGGGUUGCUGGGCCGACACUGACGCUGAGGCGCGAAAGCCAGGGGAGCAAACGGG